UAGACGGAGGGGGAAUAACUGCGGGAAACCGGCAGACUAACGACCCGCAGUAGGUAGUGGACACUGCAGUGGUCGACAUAUUAAAAGUGCCAAGGCACUGGUAGAGGAUGGACUUAUGGCGCAUUAGCUAGUUGGUGAGGUAACGGCUCACCAAGGCGACGAUGCGUAGCCGACCUGAGAGGGUGACCGGCCACACUGGGACUGAGACACGGCCCAG
rnacentral:rRNA from 1 species